ACGUGAGAGGAGACUUCCGGCCACUGCGUUGUAGUCGGCCCGGCUGCAAAGCGUUUUUCUGCAGGCUGUUUUCCCAGGUUCCCUCGGCCUGUACCUCGCGCACUCCUCUUGCUCCAGGUCCUUCAGUCUCCGCUCGUCUCACCGUAGGCUGUGACGACAUGAGCAACAAAGAAGGAUCAGGAGGGUUCAGGAAAAGGAAGCAUGACAAUUUCCCACAUAACCAAAGAAGAGAAGGGAAGGAUGUUAAUUCAUCUUCACCCGUGAUGUUGGCCUUUAAAUCAUUUCAGCAGGAACUUGAUGCAAGGCAUGACAAAUAUGAGAGACUUGUGAAACUUAGUCGGGAUAUAACUGUUGAAAGUAAAAGGACAAUUUUUCUCCUCCAUAGGAUUACAAGUGCUCCUGAUAUGGAAGAUAUAUUGACUGAAUCAGAAAUUAAAUUGGAUGGUGUCAGACAAAAGAUAUUCCAGGUAGCCCAAGAGCUAUCAGGGGAAGAUAUGCAUCAGUUCCAUCGAGCCAUUACUACAGAAGUUUACAGGCAAGAUCCUACUCACAGAGGCUCUUGGGAUCAAGGCUGACAGAAGCUCCAUCUGAAGACUUUUAUACUAUAGAGGCAGAAAAAGAGUGAUGAAUCAAGCACUGGCUUCUAAAGCUUCCGCCCAGAUGGGAAGCAUAUCUCCUCUGCUCACAUUUCCCUGACCAAAGCCAGUCACAUGGCCAUCCUCAGCUUCAGAGAGGUUGGGAAGGCAUUCCCACUAUGUGUCUGGAUGCCAGCAACUCAGAAAUAUUUGCCUUACAGAGACCUCACCAUUAACAGCAUCUGCAAGAGAAGAUUAAAGCACACGAUUACUUUACUCACUGUGUAACACAUGAGGAACAUGGACGAGAUGGGAAAAAGGCAGCCGGGAUUGCUUACCACCUGCAGCGUGCUUUCGGAGGCGGCGGCUGGCACGGAGGCCGGGCUACAUGAGAAGCUCGACAGGGCCUGGGAUCGGGUUCCUUUCCCCAGCAGUGGGCACACUGUUCCGGUUCCCAGGAGGGGUGUCUGGCGAGGAGUCCCACCACUCGGAGUCCAGGGCCAGACAGUGUGGCCUUGACUCGAGAGGCCUCUUGGUCCGGAGCCCUGUUUCCAAGAGUGCAGCAGCCCCUACUGUGACCUCUGUGAGAGGAACCUCGGCGCACUUUGGGAUUCAGCUCAGAGGUGGCACCAGAUUGCCUGACAGGCUUAGCUGGCCGUGUGGCCCUGGGAGUGCUGGGUGGCAGCAAGAGUUUGCAGCCAUGGAUAGUUCUGAGACCCUGGACGCCAGCUGGGAGGCAGCCUGCAGCGAUGGAGCAAGGCGUGUCCGGGCAGCAGGCUCUCUGCCAUCAGCAGAGUUGAGUAGCAACAGCUGCAGCCCUGGCUGUGGCCCUGAGGUCCCCCCAACCCCUCCUGGCUCUCACAGUGCCUUUACCUCAAGCUUUAGCUUUAUUCGGCUCUCGCUUGGCUCUGCCGGGGAACGUGGAGAAGCAGAAGGCUGCCCACCAUCCAGAGAGGCUGAGUCCCAUUGCCAGAGCCCCCAGGAGAUGGGAGCCAAAGCUGCCAGCUUGGACGGGCCUCACGAGGACCCGCGAUGUCUCUCUCGGCCCUUCAGUCUCUUGGCUACACGGGUCUCUGCAGACUUGGCCCAGGCCGCAAGGAACAGCUCCAGGCCAGAGCGUGACAUGCAUUCUUUACCAGACAUGGACCCUGGCUCCUCCAGUUCUCUGGAUCCCUCACUGGCUGGCUGUGGUGGUGAUGGGAGCAGCGGCUCAGGGGAUGCCCACUCUUGGGACACCCUGCUCAGGAAAUGGGAGCCAGUGCUGCGGGACUGCCUGCUGAGAAACCGGAGGCAGAUGGAGCUGAGACGUUACAACAAAGAUUAGAAGACCUGGAACAAGAGAAAAUCAGCCUGCACUUUCAACUUCCUUCAAGGCAGCCAGCUCUUAGCAGUUUCCUGGGUCACCUGGCAGCACAAGUCCAGGCUGCCUUGCGCCGUGGGGCCACUCAGCAGUGAGUACUUGUUAUUGUCACCAUUUUCCCCUCAUGUUUCUUCCUACCUCUCAGCUCCCACAUAGUGAAGAGCUGGGAGGAGCUUAGCUGUAGAGACCCUUGGCUGCCUUUCCUGGGAAGGGCCCUUUGUUGGUUGGGAAGGUGGGGAUUCUUCCAGAGUGAGAGAUGGCCCAUGUGGGUCAUGCAUCUCUAGAAAGAAGACUUUUCUGCCACUUGACAGAGAGAGAACCUUCUCAAGUGCAGCUGCAUCCCAGGUCUGAAGCAUCUCUUGGGAAACUACCCUUCUAAGAAGGUGGGGGUAAUUUCCUCUUGUUGAGGCAGCUUGGUGUCCUGUGAUCAUAUUAAGCCUGUAAGAUAAACAGAUGGUCCCCUCUGACCGAGCGAUGAAAAUCCAUCCUCCUCCUAACUCUGCCCUCCAGCUCCUGAGCAACAUUUGCUAUUUGUGUCACCCAAGGCUCUUCUGAGAUUAGUAAUAUAUAGAGAGCAGUUGCUGCUUCUAAUCCAGUGGCUUGUGGUCCUGGCUGCAUGUUUGAAUAACUUAGA
rnacentral:lncRNA from 1 species